CCUACGGGUGGCAGCAGUAGGGAAUCUUUCACAAUGGGCGAAAGCCUGAUGGAGCAACGCCGCGUGCAGGAUGAAGGCCUUCGGGUUGUAAACUGCUUUUAUAAGCGAGAAAUAUGAUGGUAACUUAUGAAUAAGGAUCGGCUAACUACGUGCCAGCAGCCGCGGUCAUACGUAGGAUCCGAGCAUUAUCCGGAGUGACUGGGUGUAAAGAGUUGCGUAUGUGGCCUAAUGAGUAGCUAGUGAAAUCUGGUGGCUCAACCAUUCAGACUAUUAGCUAAACUGUUAAGCUCGAGACCGUUAGGGGUAACUGGAAUUUCUGGUGUAGGAGUGAAAUCCGUAGAUAUUAGAAGGAACACCAAUAGCGUAGGCAGGUUGCUGGGACGGUUCUGACACUAAGGCACGAAAGCGUAGGGAGCAAACGGGAUUAGAUACCCCUGUAGUC
rnacentral:rRNA from 1 species